GAUCCGGUAGCUCAGUUCGGUAGAGCAAGGGAUUCCUCUCCCUGUGCAUGAGUUCAAUUCUCAUCCGGUUCU
rnacentral:tRNA from 1 species